CAGGGCUCAUGCUGGUCUGGCGUGGACCUGAGAGCCCGGGAACAAUGAAGGGUGGUCGGUACAGAGUUCCCACUGUGAUGCAGCAGGUUCAUGAUCCCGUUGUCUCUGCAGAGGCACCCAUUCGAUCCCUGGCCCCGUGCAGUGCAGUGGGUUCAGGAUCCAAGUUGACGCAGUUGUGGCGUAGUUCACAGAUUUGGCUGGGAUUCUGUCCCUGGCCUGGGAAUUUCCAUAAGCCGUGGGUGUGGCAGAAAAAGGAAAAAAAAAAAAAAGGAAAUAAAAAGAGAAAAAAAAAGUGAUUGCCUCAAUAGACUGAGCACCAGCUGCCUGGUCAAGGUCACCUCAUGCCCGCAUCAGCCCUUGCUGGGCAUGUUAGUGUCGCGUCUGUUACGAGAGGAACACUGCACGAAGGGGUGAGUGGCAGGCCUGGUGUCCUGCAGGGGCAGGUGGCCAAGCUGGGAUGUGAACACAGUCCGCCUGGCUCUGAGUCCUUGUGUCCUCUGCCCAAGAUCACAGGCAGGAACUCCCAGAGGGCUGCAGCGUCCGCUUGGCAGUCUGAGUCCACUUGUCGGAACAGCGAGGGACGGUCAGCGCCCCUCCAGUUCAGCUGUGAACCAAAUGACCAGGGCGACCUGGACAGGAGCCCUGCCCACGCUGCUCACCCCGUCUAAACUAACCUAGGGUGCAACCUCCCUCAUGAAGGCUUUCCUUCCCACCACCAAGAUGCAAGAUGCCACGCCUGGACCAGCUCAAAAUACCCAGUGAGGAGGCUGGCUGGAGAGUCUUCCCUGAGGGCUGGUGUCACCUCACAGCUGGACCUGGGGGGCAAAGAGGGACACAGGGGUGAGAACCAGAACCCUGAGGACCAGCCCUGCCCCGCCCUUCCCUGACCCCCGGAUCCCAUCAUCUCUAAGUGUGCUGGUCAGACCCCUGCAGAGUCUCUGAGUAUUCCGGAGAACCCCCGGAGCUCGCGGAGCGAGGCUGCUGGCUGGCAUGCAGAGACCCGCUCUCCACAAAUCUCCGUGGGCUCUGACGGUGGGCUUUUCUGUCCCUCGGCCCUCAUAUGGCCCAUUUUGCAGACGGGCACACUGAGGAGAGAACGGGCCUGCCUGGGUCCCAGCGGGGGGGCAGCAUCGCAGCCCUGGGGUGGCCCGGAGGGCCGGUGCCAGGCGGCGAGAACGUCAGGACCUGGAAGGAAACAUCGAUACCCCCUAGGCACCCACGGCCAAUUAGCUGAGGAGGAGGAGGCUGUUGCAACGGCUCAGAUUUUGAAAUUUGACCGUGACAACCACCCUGGCGAACUUGAUUCACCCACAGGUUGGGAGCCUCAUCUUCAGAGCCUGCCUCCCUCCCCGCAGGGGGAAAUGGGACCCGCUCCCUCACCACCUGUGCCUCCCCACUCUGUGAAAUUGGGUGUGUCCUCCCUUUGGGGGGUGUGACAGGUUGAAUCGUGUCCUAAAUGCUUGUGUCCAAGCCCUGAGCCCCAGGACCUCAGCGGGACCUCUUUUGGAGAUGGGGCCUUUCCAGAGGCCAUCCACUUAGAGUGGUUGCAGUGACCCUCAUCCAAUGUGACUGACAUGCUCAGGGCUCAGAGGGGCCCACUGCACCGGGAGACCGCCUGGAACAAUUCUCCCUCGACGCCUGGACCUCAGACCUCCGCCUGCAGAGCCA
rnacentral:lncRNA from 1 species